rnacentral:rRNA from 1 species
UACGAGGGGGGCAAAUGUUGUUCGGAAUCACUGGGCGUAAAGGGAGCGUAGGCGGGUUCUUAAGUAAGGUGUUUAAUCCCGGGGCCCAACCCCGGACCGGCACUUUAAACUGGGAAUCUUGAAUAGUGGAGAGGUCGGUGGAAUUGGGGGUGUAGCGGUGGAAUGGCGUAGAGAUCCCCAAGAACACCAGUUGCGAAGGCGGCCGACUGGACACAGUAUUGACGCUGAGGCUCGAAAGCAUGGGGAGCAAACAGG